rnacentral:lncRNA from 1 species
GCACGUUUGAUGAAUCAUUCUGCGAAAUUGUUCUUGGAUUUUCUGACGCACUGCCUGCCUUCAAAGAGCUGUAUCCUAACAGAGAGUCCUUCACCCAGCAGAAUUUGGCCACAGAUCUUCUUGGUGCAACUUACAGUGCACACAGUGCCCUUGACAAUGUGCUGAUGCUACAAAAGUUGAGCGCUAGCUGUCUAAGUGAUGCUGUUCUUCUGAAACACAGCUUCUCAAAUUCCGGCAGGUUUCUUUCACAGGUCACAGGUCACAGGUCACCAAAAAAUAUGCCAAAACGUCAUAAAACAGAUGCAUACAAGUGCGUCCCUAGUGCAACUAUAAGAGCUCUUUCUUGAAAAAAAA